AAGGUACGCUCUCGACGGUGAAGUCCCUUGCGGAUGGAGCUAUUGAGAGUCGCAGAUACCAGGUGGCUGCAACUGUUUAUUAAAAACACAGCACUGUGCAAAAUCGUAAGAUGACGUAUACGGUGUGACGCCUGCCCGGUGCCGGAAGGUUAAUUGAUGGGGUUAGACUUCGGUCGAAGCUCUUGAUCGAAGCCCCGGUAAACGGCGGCCGUAACUAUAACGGUCCUAAGGUAGCGAAAUUCCUUGUCGGGUAAGUUCCGACCUGCACGAAUGGCGUAAUGAUGGCCACGCUGUCUCCACCCGAGACUCAGUGAAAUUGAAAUCGCUGUGAAGAUGCAGUGUACCCGCGGCUAGACGGAAAGACCCCGUGAACCUUUACUACAGCUUGGCACUGAACAUUGACCCUACAUGUGUAGGAUAGGUGGGAGGCUUUGAAGCACGUACGCCAGUAUGUGUGGAGCCGUCCUUGAAAUACCACCCUUGUAGUGUUGAUGUUCUAACGUCGACCCCUUAUCGGGGUUGCGGACAGUGCCUGGUGGGUAGUUUGACUGGGGCGGUCUCCUCCCAAAGAGUAACGGAGGAGCACGAAGGUGGGCUAAUCACGGUUGGACAUCGUGAGGUUAGUGCAAUGGCAUAAGCCCGCUUGACUGCGAGAAUGACAAUUCGAGCAGGUGCGAAAGCAGGUCAUAGUGAUCCGGUGGUUCUGAAUGGAAGGGCCAUCGCUCAACGGAUAAAAGGUACUCCGGGGAUAACAGGCUGAUACCGCCCAAGAGUUCAUAUCGACGGCGGUGUUUGGCACCUCGAUGUCGGCUCAUCACAUCCUGGGGCUGAAGUCGGUCCCAAGGGUAUGGCUGUUCGCCAUUUAAAGUGGUACGCGAGCUGGGUUUAGAACGUCGUGAGACAGUUCGGUCCCUAUCUGCCGUGGGCGUUGGAAGAUUGAAGGGGGCUGCUCCUAGUACGAGAGGACCGGAGUGGACGAACCUCUGGUGUUCGGGUUGUGUCGCCAGACGCAUUGCCCGGUAGCUAAGUUCGGAAUCGAUAACCGCUGAAAGCAUCUAAGCGGGAAGCGAGCCCUGAGAUGAGUCUUCCCUGAUACUUUAAGUAUCCUAAAGGGUUGUCGGAGACUACGACGUUGAUAGGUCAGGUGUGUAAGUGCUGUGAGGCAUUGAGCUAACUGAUACUAAUUGCCCGUGAGGCUUAACCAUACAACAC
rnacentral:rRNA from 1 species